rnacentral:rRNA from 1 species
GACGAACGCUGGCGGCGUGCUUAACACAUGCAAGUCGAACGGAAAGGCCUCUUUCGGGGGGUACUCGAGUGGCGAACGGGUGAGUAACACGUGAGUAACCUGCCCUUGACUUUGGGAUAACUUCAGGAAACUGGGGCUAAUACCGGAUAGGAGCUCCUGCUGCAUGGUGGGGGUUGGAAAGUUUCGGCGGUUGGGGAUGGACUUGCGGCUUAUCAGCUUGUUGGUGGGGUAGUGGCUUACCAAGGCUUUGACGGGUAGCCGGCCUGAGAGGGUGACCGGCCACAUUGGGACUGAGAUACGGCCCAGACUCCUACGGGAGGCAGCAGUGGGGAAUAUUGCACAAUGGGUGGAAGCCUGAUGCAGCAACGCCGUGUGCGGGAUGACGGCCUUCGGGUUGUAAACCGCUUUCGCUCAUAACGAAGCUUUGUGUGACGGUAGUGGGUAAAGAAGCACCGGCUAACUACGUG